rnacentral:rRNA from 1 species
CACGUAGGGCGCAAGCGUUGUCCGGAUUUAUUGGGCGUAAAGCGCUCGCAGGUGGUCCGUUGCGUCGUGCGUGAAAGACCCCGGCUCAACCGGGGAGGGUCGUGCGAUACGGGCGGACUGGAGGCCAGUAGGGGGAUGCGGAAUUCCGGGUGUAGUGGUGGAAUGCGUAGAUAUUCGGAAGAACACCAGUGGCGAAGGCGGACUCACUGGACGCGUAUUGACGCUGAGGUG